GUGGGGAAUUUUGGACAAUGGGCGCAAGCCUGAUCCAGCAAUGCCGCGUGCAGGAAGAAGGCCUUCGGGUUGUAAACUGCUUUUGUACGGAACGAAACGGUCCUGGUUAAUACCUGGGGCUAAUGACGGUACCGUAAGAAUAAGCACCGGCUAACUACGUGCCAGCAGCCGCGGUAAUACGUAGGGUGCAAGCGUUAAUCGGAAUUACUGGGCGUAAAGCGUGCUCAGGCGGUUUUGUAAGACAGGCGUGAAAUCCCCGGGCUCAACCUGGGAAUUGCGCUUGUGACUGCAAGGCUGGAGUGCGGCAGAGGGGGAUGGAAUUCCGCGUGUAGCAGUGAAAUGCGUAGAUAUGCGGAGGAACACCGAUGGCGAAGGCAAUCCCCUGUGCCUGCACUGACGCUCAUGCACGAAAGCGUGGGGAGCAAACAGGAUUAGAAACCCUGGUAGUCC
rnacentral:rRNA from 1 species